CGCGGCCUAUCAGCUUGUUGGUGAGGUAACGGCUCACCAAGGCGACGACGGGUAGCCGGCCUGAGAGGGCGACCGGCCACACUGGGACUGAGACACGGCCCAGACUCCUACGGGAGGCAGCAGUGGGGAAUAUUGCGCAAUGGGCGAAAGCCUGACGCAGCAACGCCGCGUGGGGGAUGAAGGCCUUCGGGUUGUAAACCCCUUUCAGCAGGGACGAAGCGAAAGUGACGGUACCUGCAGAAGAAGCGCCGGCUAACUACGUGCCAGCAGCCGCGGUAAUACGUAGGGCGCAAGCGUUGUCCGGAAUUAUUGGGCGUAAAGAGCUCGUAGGUGGUCUGUUACGUCUGCUGUGAAAACCUAGGGCUUAACCCUGGGCCUGCAGUGGAUACGGGCAGACUAGAGGUAGGUAGGGGAGAAUGGAAUUCCCGGUGUAGCGGUGAAAUGCGCAGAUAUCGGGAGGAACACCGGUGGCGAAGGCGGUUCUCUGGGCCUUACCUGACACUGAGGAGCGAAAGCGUGGGGAGCGAACAGGAUUAGAUACCCUGGUAGUCCACGCCGUAAACGUUGGGCGCUAGGUGUGGGAUCCUUCCACGGAUUCCGUGCCGCAGCUAACGCAUUAAGCGCCCCGCCUGGGGAGUACGG
rnacentral:rRNA from 1 species